GUGGGGAAUAUUGGACAAUGGGCGAAAGCCUGAUCCAGCCAUGCCGCGUGUGUGAAGAAGGUCUUCGGAUUGUAAAGCACUUUAAGUUGGGAGGAAGGGCAGUAAGUUAAUACCUUGCUGUUUUGACGUUACCGACAGAAUAAGCACCGGCUAACGUCGUGCCAGCAGCCGCGGUAAUACGAAGGGUGCAAGCGUUAAUCGGAAUUACUGGGCGUAAAGCGCGCGUAGGUGGUUUUGUAAGUUGGAGGUGAAAUCCCCGGGCUCAACCUGGGAACUGCCUCCAAAACUGCAUGACUAGAGUACGGUAGAGGGUAGUGGAAUUUCCUGUGUAGCGGUGAAAUGCGUAGAUAUAGGAAGGAACACCAGUGGCGAAGGCGACUACCUGGACUGAUACUGACACUGAGGUGCGAAAGCGUGGGGAGCAAACAGGAUUAGAUACCCGAGUAGUCC
rnacentral:rRNA from 1 species